GGGUACACGAGCGGCGAACGGGUGAGUAACACGUGGGUGAUCUGCCUUGCACUUCGGGAUAAGCCUGGGAAACUGGGUCUAAUACCGGAUAUGACCACGGAAUGCAUGUUCUGUGGUGGAAAGAUUUAUCGGUGCGAGAUGGGCCCGCGGCCUAUCAGCUUGUUGGUGAGGUAACGGCUCACCAAGGCGACGACGGGUAGCCGACCUGAGAGGGUGACCGGCCACACUGGGACUGAGACACGGCCCAGACUCCUACGGGAGGCAGCAGUGGGGAAUAUUGCACAAUGGGCGCAAGCCUGAUGCAGCGACGCCGCGUGCGGGAUGACGGCCUUCGGGUUGUAAACCGCUUUUGACAGGGACGAAGCGCAAGUGACUGUACCUGUAGAAUAAGGACCGGCCAACUACGUGCCAGCAGCCGCGGUAAUACGUAGGGUCCGAGCGUUGUCCGGAAUUACUGGGCGUAAAGAGCUUGUAGGCGGUUCGUCGCGUCGUUUGUGAAAACUUGGGGCUCAACCUUAAGCUUGCAGGCGAUACGGGCGGACUAGAGUACUUCAGGGGAGACUGGAAUUCCUGGUGUAGCGGUGAAAUGCGCAGAUAUCAGGAGGAACACCGGUGGCGAAGGCGGGUCUCUGGGAAGUAACUGACGCUGAGAAGCGAAAGCAUGGGUAGCAAACAGGAUUAGAUACCCUGGUAGUCCAUGCCGUAAACGGUGGGUACUAG
rnacentral:rRNA from 1 species